ACAUACGACCAUAUCCACGAGAAAAUACGGGAUCCCGUCCGCUCUCCCCUAGUCAAACUCGUGAGAGCCAAAUUAGUACUCAGGUCGGUGACGACUGGGGAAUCCUUGGUGUUGUAUGUU
rfam:Chaetomium globosum CBS 148.51 scaffold_4 genomic scaffold, whole genome shotgun sequence.